rnacentral:rRNA from 1 species
UACGGGGGGGCAAGCGUUGUUCGGAAUUACUGGGCGUAAAGGGCUCGUAGGCGGCCAACUAAGUCGGAUGUGAAAUCCCCAGGCUUAACCUGGGAACUGCAUCCGAUACUGGAUGGCUUGAAUCCGGGAGAGGGUCGCGGAAUUCCCGGUGUAGAGGUGAAAUUCGUAGAUAUUGGGAAGAACACCGGUGGCGAAGGCGGCUCACUGGCCCGGUACUGACGCUGAGGUGCGAAAGCGUGGGGA